rnacentral:tRNA from 1 species
GCUUCGAUAGCUCAGUAGGCAGAGCGUACGUCUCAUAAUCCAACAGAUCAAAUCAUCUGAUCAAGCCUAAGUCAGCGUAAGGCCGGGAGUUCGAUCCUCUCUCGAAGCA